rnacentral:rRNA from 1 species
UAGGCCCAGGCGACUGUUUACCAAAAACACAGGUCUCUGCUAAAGCGAAAGCUGAAGUAUAGGGGCUGACGCCUGCCCGGUGCUGGAAGGUUAAGGGGAAUGCUUAGCGCAAGCGAAGGUGUGAACUUAAGCCCCAGUAAACGGCGGCCGUAACUAUAACGGUCCUAAGGUAGCGAAAUUCCUUGUCAGGUAAGUUCUGACCCGCACGAAAGGCGUAACGAUCUGGGCGCUGUCUCAACAAUAGACUCGGUGAAAUUGUAGUACCGGUAAAGAUGCCGGUUACCCGCAGCAGGACGGAAAGACCCCGUGGAGCUUUACUGCAGCUUGAUAUUGGAUUUCGGCAUUGCAUGUACAGGAUAGGUGGGAGACUGCGAACUCAGUACGCCAGUAUUGAGGGAGUCACCGUUGGGAUACCACCCUUGUAAUGUUGAGGUUCUAACUUUGUACCGUGACCCGGUAUGAGGACAGUGUCUGGCGGGCAGUUUGACUGGGGCGGUCGCCUCCUAAAGAGUAACGGAGGCGCCCAAAGGUUCCCUCAGUGCGGACGGAAAUCGCACGAAGAGUGUAAAGGCAGAAGGGAGCUUGACUGCGAGACAAACAGGUCGAGCAGGGACGAAAGUCGGGCUUAGUGAUCCGGUGGUACCGAGUGGAAGGGCCAUCGCUCAACGGAUAAAAGCUACCCCGGGGAUAACAGGCUGAUACCCCCCAAGAGUCCACAUCGACGGGGGUGUUUGGCACCUCGAUGUCGGCUCGUCUCAUCCUGGGGCUGAAGUAGGUCCCAAGGGUUGGGCUGUUCGCCCAUUAAAGAGGUACGCGAGCUGGGUUCAGAACGUCGUGAGACAGUUCGGUCCCUAUCCGCUGUGGGCGUUGGAGAUUUGAGUGGAGCUGUUCUUAGUACGAGAGGACCGGGAUGGACAUACCUCUGGUGCACCAGUUGUUCUGCCAAGGGCAUAGCUGGGUAGCCACGUAUGGAAGGGAUAAGUGCUGAAAGCAUCUAAGUACGAAGCCCCCCACAAGACAAGAUCUCCUCCUUAAAGGUAAGACCCGUGAGAGACUAUCACGUUGAUAGGUCGGAGGUGGAAGUGCAGUAAUGUAUGGAGCUGACCGAUACUAAUAGGUCGAAAACUUGACCAA